AGCUCUGCGCAGAGGCGAUAACGUGACCAAUGAGCCUCUGCCGAGGUGCGUUUAUUGCUGGUUGAAAACUUUUGCCAAUAUAAUAUUAUAUAGUGCAUCUAGACGUAAAACAUAGUAGACUGCAC
rnacentral:sRNA from 1 species